GAAAUGCUUUAUGAGCCUCUUCAGUCCAUCAUUUCACCGCAGCUGAACAACGUUACUCUUCUGUUCAAUUAGAAAGAGAAGAAUCUGGAAAAUGAAUUUUCUUCUUCUUGCUCUAGCCUUUUUGGUUUCUGCUGCUGAGGAACCCUUACAGUUUUCAGGGAAAUUUCAUACUGUCUACCUAGCAAGUAAAUCUGUGGGUGCAAUAGCAGAAAAUAGUCCAGAGCGUAUGCUGAUGCGUGAAGUUCAGUUUUUUAAUGAACACAGUGUCAUGAGCAUGACGUUCUAUGUGAGGAAAAACGGGAUCUGCCAACUACACACAGUUUGGGCUGAUAAACUCCCAUGGAAUUAUUGCACAAAGAAAGCAACUGGGACAAAUAUCACUCAAGAAAUGUGAGAAGAAUAUGUGACCCUAACUAAGUUCGUCAAAAUUCCUACUAAAAAUAUUGAAAAUGUAUAUGAAACAGAUGUAUGCCCUAAAUAGGAGCCUUGAUCUCAGGAGGAGAAAAAUUGUAUUAGUCACUAUACUUGAUUCCUUGGAAUUAAAUUUUGAUGUUGAUUCAAGCCUGUAAACAAAGGUAUUCACAAUUGUUAUUCAGGGAUUUCUGCACACCCUAUUGUUAAGGAAUAUCAUUACUGGCUUUAUGUAAGAUUAAUUGCAUUGAUUUCAACUUUGUAAAAGAGUUUUCAAUAAAGUACCCAAUGCACAUCAUGCUGUGGAAUUCAUCAGGAGACAUUAUCAAAGUCACAUUCUUCACCUGAUCAUACAUGGGAAUAUUUUUUGUAUUUCAAAAUUUAAUAGCUACAAUUGUAUAAAACUCUUAAAGAUAUCAGGUAUUUCAAUUACUUUUCUUUUGUUGUAAUGUUUCUUUCAGGACAUUUCCAAAAAUACCUUAAUGAGGCUUGUUGAAGGCUAGAUAUGUCUGUUUGGGAUAAACUGAAUUGAGGCCUUGGAGCUAGCAUUUUACCACUCAGCAGACUAGCUCUGAGGGAGAAAACCAGAACUUCCUUUGACUUACAAGAGUCUACUUGAAUACUUUGAGGGCUAUAAAGAAGGCAGAAGGAAGUUAACAGGGAAAAUAAUAACACAUACACACACACACACACACACAGAGUCAGUGAAUGAAGCAAGCAAUCUACAAAAAUUCUAAUUUUCCUUCCAUUACAUAUAUAUUUCAGAAAAAUCUCUCAGGUAGCAUAAACAUUACAAUGUGAUUGUAUUAUAGUUUCUUUUUAUGAAUGAUUAUUUUAAAAAGUAUUUUCUCUAAUACCUCUACUUGAAAAAACAACAUAUAUAUUACAUAUAUGAAAAAUAAAACAAAUCAUUCCUACAAACCCACACACAUUCCCAAAUAAGCCACUUGUUAUAGAUUAGGAAAGUAUGUGAAUGACAUGUAAUUUUCUCAGCCAUUUUCUUUUUACUAGAUAGUUUGCAAUUUGUGGUUAAUAAAGAUAGGAUUAAUUAUUUAUGGUUUAUCAUAAAAUGUAACCUCAUAUAAAUCUUAAAAUAAUAAAAAAUCUAAACAUUU
ensembl:processed_transcript